GUGUCAGCAGCCGCGGUAAUACGGAGGGUGCAAACGUUGCUCGGAAUCAUUGGGCGUAAAGCGCACGUAGGCGGCUUGUUAAGUCGGAUGUGAAAGCCCCAGGCUCAACCUGGGAAGUGCAUUCGAAACUGGCGAGCUUGAAUAUGGAAGAGGGUCGCGGAAUUCCCGGUGUAGAGGUGAAAUUCGUAGAUAUCGGGAGGAACACCAGUGGCGAAGGCGGCGACCUGGGCCAAUAUUGACGCUGAGGUGCGAAAGCGUGGGGAGCAAACAGGAUUAGAAACCCCUGUAGUCC
rnacentral:rRNA from 1 species